GGGCCCUUAGCUCAGUUGGUAGAGCGCCACGUUUACACCGUGGAUGUCGUCGGUUCGAUCCCGGCAGGGCCCACCG
rnacentral:tRNA from 2 species